UACGUAGGGAGCGAGCGUUAUCCGGAAUUAUUGGGUGUAAAGGGUGCGUAGGCGGCAUAAUAAGUCAGUGGUGAAAGCCCGGAGCUUAACUCCGGUAAGCCAUUGAAACUGUUAAGCUUGAGUAUGGUAGAGGCAAGCGGAAUUUCUAGUGUAGCGGUAAAAUGCGUAGAUAUUAGAAGGAACACCAGUGGCGAAGGCGGCUUGCUGGGCCAAAACUGACGCUGAGGCACGAAAGCGUGGGGAGCAAAUAGG
rnacentral:rRNA from 1 species